rnacentral:rRNA from 1 species
UACAGAGGGUGCGAGCGUUGUUCGGAAUUAUUGGGCGUAAAGGGCGCGUAGGCGGCGCGGUAUGUCACCUGUGAAAUCUCCUGGCUCAACUGGGAGCUUGCAGGCGAAACUGCCGUGCUGGAGUGUGGGAGAGGUGCGUGGAAUUCCCGGUGUAGCGGUGAAAUGCGCAGAUAUCGGGAGGAACACCAAUGGCGAAGGCAGCUCGCUGGGACGUGACUGACGCUGAGACGGCGAAAGCGUGGGGAGCAAACAGGG